AUUUAAGGAAAAGGAUAAAUUUGUCCAAAGAAAAAAAUUACAAUUCAUUUCCCUAUCAAAUUUUAUGUCAAACCAAACAAUGAAAUUUAAUUUCACUAUUCUCUUCCACUCCUUUCUUCUCCUUUCCCCUCCAUUCCACUCAUUUCCUCUCCUCUUUUUUCGUAAAACCAAACACCACCUAAGAGAUCUUUUUAAGGUGAAUUGGAAUUACCAUACCUGGAAAUUAAAGAACAGCUUUGCAGGUAAUAAUAAAUAAAUGCAGGAACUUAGUCAUCAAUUAGAACAAUACAAAACUAUCGUUUUGUCAAAAUAAAUAAGAGACAAAUCCUUCACGUGUUAAUGUAGCAAACAACAAGAUGUUUGGUCAGUCAAAACAGGUGCAGCAUUUCAUUUUUACCAAUACAAGUUUUCGCAAUUCAACGAUGGAUGCCAUAUAACUAAAGUCUUUAAGUUACAAAAUAUAAAUUCAUUCAGAACAAUACAAAACAGUCAUAUUCACGAUAGCUGUAUUCUUGACACAAAUUGAGUGCCCCUUGGGGUUCAUGAAUAUGCAAUCUCUUCUUUGCUUAGAAAGCAGUUGAAAAAGCUUCACAAGCAAACAAAUGACAGAAGUGUAAAUUUAAAUCAAAUGGUUCAUUAAAAAAUAUUGAAAAUGACUAGUAAAAUUUUAUCAACAACGUGUCCUGUAAUGGUAUACACCUGAGAAAUCCACAAGUCACAACAAAAGAUAAAAAUGAAAAAUCUAUUUUUCUCCUUCUGUUCCCACAAGGCCAAAAUGCAAGCCGAUGGUAAGUAAUGCAAGAUUCAAAAAGGAAUUUUAAUAGCAACAUUUGUAUCCUAUUUCACAAACAUCCUAACAGUAAAUUUUCUAUUUAAAAUUAAAAAACACAAAUUUUUAACUAUAGAUCAAUCAUAAACAUUUCCAAUUGAAAAUGUAGAACCAUUAUUCAUCUUUCAGGGAAAGAGAAAUAACACAACAAGGGGAAAUAAACAACUUACAAUUAAAAUUGUUGGAGUACAAAGAUCCGAAAGAAGAAAAUUAAUUUGAAUCAGGUUUUUUUUUUCUUUUUUUUCCCUCUCUAAUUUGGAGGGAAAGCAGUUUUUCUUCUCUUUAUAUGGAGUGGGACAGAACAUACAAAAGAAGACGCCACAUAAUGACUAAUGAAAACUAUUUACUUGUUUGUUAAUGCAAUCGGAUUUAGGCACCGUUUAUAAUUGAAGUUGGAUAGUUGUAGUUUAAAAGUUAGAGUACUCAAGUGUUCAAUAAAUACUAACUAUUAAAACUUGAAUACUAAGUUGAUUAGAUCUUACACUUGUAUGAUAAAUAAUAUAUUAUAUCCUUACUAAUUUUGUCAAAAUUAUAUUUACUACAUAUUAUUAAUUUUUAUUUCAUAGUUAUAGUCUUUUUUUUUUUGCAACAGUUGUAACGUAAAAGUUAUAGCACUUCAAUACCAAAUAGGGCCUCAGUCACAUAAAUAAUGUUUAUUAAUACCUAUAACAAAUUAAAUACAAGUGACGGGCUGUUAAGGGAUUUGAACUGGUGCUGAAGUGACCUAUAUUUUAUAUUCUUAUCCAAUAACUACAAAUUAUAUAUUUUUGAAAGGUUUGCAAAAAGAUUAGCUCAAUACUAAAUUUAAAUCCGUUUUUAAGACUUCACAAUUAUCCUUUUAAAAUCCUUUUUUUUAAAUUAUUCUUCAUUUAAUACAAAAAUUACCCUUUCUGUCUAAAUUAACAAUCUUUUUAUUUGAAUAUUUAAUUUUUACUAGUUUUUCACUCUCUAACCCUUUUGCCAUCAGUAACAAAAAAAUAAAAAGAUUUUGUAGCUUUGAACCUCACCCUUCAUACAAAUAAUUCUAUGGGUCAUAAACUUUUUAAAGUUUUGUUAUCUCUAUUAUUCUCUUCAAAAUUUCUCUCUCUAUAAAACUCAAAUCAAUAUAUAAGAGAGCAGCUAAGUGGUUCAAGGCAUAGCAUUAGAAGUGCUAUAUAGAUUUUUGUUUACUAGGGGUUCGAAUCCCUCUCUUGCCUUACCUUGAAUUCAUCAAUGAUUAUUAUCCUUUCACUCUUCUAAUUAUCUCAAAAUAACCAACUACUACAAGAGUUAUUAAAGGCUAGUAGUUACUGCAUUAACUAUGAAAAAAUAAUGCUUUACUACUUUUCCAUUACUUCUAUUAGUUGACUGAUUAGUUGACUUAUAAAAUACCAAUACUACUCUUCAUUAAUAACUCUAAAAAUUACAAAAAUAAACAUAAGUUUUGUAUAGGGAAGUAUCCGAUCUAGAAUUACAAUUUAGAAAUUUCAUACUAGAUGGUCACUCAAUUUUGUAAUAUCUAUAACAACUCUAAAUGUUCAGAAGUGUGACAGAACAACCCUGAAUUUGAUUACCAUAUGUAUGUUCUAAAACUUUUACACUUUAAUAAAUCACCCUCCAAAAAUUAUAAUUAAUAAAUCACCCUCCAAAAAUUCUAAUCCUUAAGUCCUUUUCUCUAUCUACAACUUUAUCUUCUUCUCCACUAUCAUAUUUUCCUCUCUCUACAAGUCCUUCCUCUUCUUUAUGCUAGAAAUCAAAUCCAGAACAACACUUUUUCUAUUUUAUAAAAUCAGUGAAAGCUAGCAUCUUUUUCUUGAUUAUGUAUAAAUGCAUAAUGUUAGAGAAACACCUUAGAUUUCUAAUAAAGAACCGUAGAAGAUGGUUGGAAUCUUCUUUGCUAUCCUCAAUAAUCCCCCUCACAUGAGUGGACAUGUAAAAAACUCAAAUUCUAUACACAAAAUGGAAACUGUAGAACAUUAAUUUUUUUUCCAAAAAAAAUCUAUUUGUAAAAGUAUGUUAUCUGUUCUAAUUUCUUCUCUUAUAUAGGCACUUAUUAGAGUUAGAAUUUGACUAGGAAUUGAGCUAGCAAAAGGAUUACAAACCUAUGGGUAUUCUGGCUUCAACUUAACAAUUAAGGUUUAGUCAUCUUAUGACACACCAAAACUAUUAAGUUCACCCCAAGCUGUUCUACUAAAAACUCAAAGUUACACUCUAAUAACCCAUGUAAUUAAAUAAAAGCACAAUUAAUUAAAACUUCUUUUAAUUAAUUUUAGUCUUGGUCUUAGACCAAUAAUAACUACUUAAUAAACCCUCUAUCUGAUGUGCAUUAUUAAAGCCAUGCCCAUGAUGAAUGGCAUGCCUCUAUACUUAUAUAUUUACCCCUAAGUCACUAUGUGUUCUAAUAAUCACUUUCAUUAUAUCUAUAUUUGUAAAUAAAUUUACAAAUAAUAUUAUUAUUCAAUAAAUAAUUUAUAGAAUAAACUGCGUUAUAGAUUUAAAUGAUCAAGUAUCACAAAAAACCUAAAUAAGCAUCAUUCUCUAUCUUGUAAGUGUAUGUUCCCACGAUCCAUGAAAUUGCAUCCCCAAAAUAUUGAGGUUCUGAUCGUUUAUAAGGAUUUCACUCUGUAAUAACUCAAAAGACGUAAUCCAUAAACGCAAGUUCCUUAUCCACUCAGGAUUAAGGUUGAAUGAGCUUAUAUAAAUAUAUAUGAAUUAUGAUCAACAGAAUUUGUUAAACUAUAUCAUAAUUUACUGUAGUCCAGUUGAAUAUGCAUAUCAAAUAUUGACUAUUUUACUCGAAAUCUCUACUUUAGCGAUCAAGAUAGACUCACUCACAAUAAAUAGUAGAAAAGUUACAGUCUUACAUAAUAAAAUGUUUGUUUCCUUAAGAGCUGUGAAAAAUCUUUUAUUUAUAAAGACUGUGUGAUUUAUAUCCUCUAGUAUUGAUAUCAUAUGUUCAAUACAUAUAAAUAUAUUAUAUUAAAACUAGAAAAUGUUAUAUGACUAACACUUUAAGAGUAUAAUAAUAACUCUAAGUUUGACAAUCUCCCACUUGCUUUAAAUAAAAAAAAAUCAUGUUCUUUUGACUAUGCGACUGCCCCACCAUUCUCACAAGAAAGCACAAUGGGCAUCUUAGCAAAAGAAACUACCUCAAGUUCUAUAAAAAUAUUUAGAGUUAUAUAACGUUUUUAGCAGUUUCCAAGAAACGACUACAUAUUCAACUUUCAUAGGGAGUUUGCAACACAAGAUUGUUUUACAAUCCUCCAACUUACAACUCCAUCACCUAAGGUGAACACAUUACUAAAAAUGGAUCUCUGAGUAUCCAUAAUUCCUUGAAAAUUUAAAUUAGUAUACCGUAUAUGUACAAGAUUUUCACUAUGAUACACAAGCAUAUAAUCUCUCGUUCUCUAGAGAUACUUAAGUGUAUGCUUUACUGCAAUCCAAUGCUAUAGUCCUGGGUUUGAUUGAUAUCUAAUGAUCAUACUUACAGGCAAACAAAUAUUUGGUCUAGUACAUAGCAUAGCAUGCAUAAGACUUCUUAUUGCAUAUGCAUAAGGAUAUUAUCUCAUAUGAUAUAUGUCUUCAAGAGUCUUAGGAGAUAGAUCCUUAGAUAGACAUCAUGUAUAUCUGAAAGGGAGUGAACCUAAUUUCUUGGAAUCUUGCAUAGCAAACGGAAGAUAAACCUAUUAUGGAUCUUACAGAAACUUAAUCACAAAAAUGUAACUAGUUUCUCUCAAAUCCUUCAUAUCAAAUUAGGUAGACAACCAAAUUUUAACUGAUGAUAGCAUUCCUACAUCAUUCCCAAUGAGUAGGAUAUUAUCUACUUACAAGACUAGAUAUACAAACAAACGCUCAUCUAUCCUCUUAUAAACACAAGGUUUAUUAGAAUUUUGAUUAAAUCCAAACAAUUUGAAUGCUUAAUUAAAUAUAAUGUUUCAAGAACUAAAAGCAUGCUUUUGGCUAUAGAUAGACCUCUAUAGUUACAAAUAGGGGUGGGCAAAAUCGAAUCGGAACUGAAAAAAAUCGGUUCGGUUUGGAUUUUUUCGGUUUCGGUUCAAUUCUGUUUUUAGAUAAAAAAUUUUAAAAUCUGAACCGCACGGUAUUAAGGUAUUUUUGUAAUUUCACUACAACACAUAUAUACCCAGACCACAAAUGUUUGCACCAGCACCGGUGCACCAUGAACGGACAAACCCACACACCCAAGUCUUAACUCUGUCUGCCAUUGGCUGAUACUGCCGACCUGCUGCUACCGUUCCUUCCAUUGCUCAUUCGCCAGCCAACCAGCCAGCCAGGUAACUCACUUGCUCUGCUUUCUCUCUAUUUUUUUUAAAAUGGGUUUGUUUUUUUUUAAUAACUCUUUAAUCUUUUUAAUUUCAUGGUUUUUUACUUAUUAUUACUGUAUUAGAUUAUUAAUAGUAUUUAGUUUUAUUAGCUUUGUUUGGAUCUACAUAUGUGACUGGAUCUACAAAUGUCACUGAUGCUGGGUGAGAAAUAGAGAAAUUUUGUUAUGGCCUAAUUCGUUUGCAAAUAUUUCAAAAUGGUCCUUGACCGAAAGUCAAUAUUUUAUUUUAUUUUUUUUUAUCAUAAAUUGAUUAUAGUUGGCAUUGUGUGUACGAAUACAUUUAUAGUUAUAUUUAUGUUUACUUUACUCAUUUCAAUUUUAUUUGUGUAGAUUUAAGUUGACAAGUGUGGAUGUUGGAAGUUAUUAAAGUUGGAAGAAGUUGGUGGGAAAUGCGAGCAAAGUAAUGGCAUUUCUUAUGGUUGAUUUUUAAUUUUUAUGUUGUAAUAAUUUCUCAUGGUUAUAGAUGUUGUCUUGGAUGUUGCCUGGAUGUUGUUGGGUAUUUGAUUGUCUUUUAUUUUGUUUUGUGUCAUUGUUGGAAUUUUUUAUUUGUUUUAUGUUGUCAUUGGACUUAUGUUAUGGAAUAUAUUAAGUUAAUUUGGUGAUGAUGAUGAAUAAUUUCAUAGUGGUGAUGACAUAUGUAGUAGUAAUUGUUGCAAACCAUUAAAAAAAAACUAAAUAACCGAUUGCUUAAAUUAAACCAUUAAAAGAAUCGAAAAACUGAUUGCUUAAAUUAAAUCGUUAAAAGAACCGAAACCGAUCCGAAAUUAAAAACCGAAACUGACCUAUUGGUUUUGGUUCAGAUUUUAUUUUCAAAAAAAUCGAACGAUUUUUUUUAAUUUUCGAACCUGAACCAAUCUGAAAUCGAAAAUUUAUUCCAAAACCGAACCGAACAGAUUCUCCUUUCAGCUAUGCCAUUUUGGUAAAGAGUCCUUGGUGCAACUUAUUGAGAUAAAAUCCCAUGUUUUGAUAAAUAGAUCCUAAACUCACUAAGGAGGUAUUCACCACCUCAAUCAGAUCCAAGUGUCUUUAUGUAUUUUCCUAAUUACUUUUUUGCUUCUACCCGAAACUUCUUGAAUUUGUCAAAAACUUCAUACUUAUGGUGCAUUAAGUAUACAUAACCAUACUUUGAAUAACCAUCAAUGAAGAAGAUGAAAUAUUUAUAACCUCCUUGUGCUUAUGUUUCAUGGGCCCACAUACAUCAAAAUGUAAUCACUCUAACAUGUCUAUGGCUUUGUUGCCUUUAGCAUUGAAUGCUCUUUUGGUUAUUUUACCUUCUAAACAAGAUUCAUAGAUCGGUAAUAGUUCUGCAAUUAAUGAACUCAAAGGUCCAAUGCUAACUAAUCUUUGGAUCUUAUCUAUACUUAUAUGACUUAAAUGCAAAUGCCACAGAUACGUUUCAUUAGGAGAUAACUUAAUUUUCUUAUGCCACAGAUAACUUGAUUUUAGUUUGUUGCCUUUAGCAUUGAAUGCUCUUUUGGUUAUUUUACCUUCUAAACAAGAUUCGUAGAUCGAUAAUAGUUCUACAACCAAUGAACUCAAAGGUCCAAUGCUAACUAAUCUUUGGAUCUUAUCUAUACUUAUAUGACUUAAAUGCAAAUGCCACAGAUACGUUUCAUUAGGAGAUAACUUAAUUUUCUUAUGGUAAUUAGAUUCAUUAUUUAAUUAUGUAUUAUGUAGAGAGAGUUGAUUUUAGGAAAUAAAUAGUAUAGAUUGUCAUCUAGUAUACCAGAACAUACAAACGACUUAUUCUUCUUUAUCACUAUAGUUAAGUUAAAAAUAACAAAAUAACCAAAUUUAUUCAAUGCACAAACUAAAAUAAAAUGUCAUCUAAGUUAUGGAACAAAUAAACAAUCAUCUAAUACUAACCUUCUCAAAUCAUCAAAAUAAAGAUGAACUACUCCCACUGCUCUAGCUACAACAAUUAAGCCUCUAGCCCAGCCUAAAACUGAUCUCUCAUCACUAAAUGACUUUGUUUCUUAGAACCUCUGCAACAAAUUGAAAAUAUGAUUAGUGGCUCCAAAAUUUACUAUCCAAGAAUGUAUAGAAUCAACCGUUAGAUAUGUCUCAAUGAAAAGAACAUUACCUGAAAGUAAACUUAUACCCUUAACCUGGGAUACAUUAGCUAAGUAAACUGGGCAAUUUCUCUUCGAAUGCCUCUUUUGUCCUAAAUGAAAACACUUUCUUUUCGGCUUAUUUUCCUUUUUCUAAAUUUGCACUGCCCUUGGGUUUGAUGCCUUUUUGAAUGUAUUCUUCUUCUUUUUUAUACUACACUUUCUUUUAGGAUUACAGCCAGAAUAAGAAGAUUAGUCCUAAGUUAAAUGAACAACCGGUGCUAGCUUUAGAAUAAUUUCUACAACCUUCAACACAUUCAUCAAUCCUAUCAAUGUGCAAUCUUUAUUGCUUAUUGAAAGAUUGAGCUUGAAUGGUUGAAAUGAAAGAGCUAAUCUAGCUAAGACCAUAUCGCUCUACUCUUUAGCAUUGAAAUUCCCACCCAAUUCCUCUACUUGCCAAAAUAGUGCUAUCAUUUUCAUCAUAUGAUCUUGUACAGUGUUCUUUCAGAUUAUAAAGCAUUUGUUAUCUCAUUGAUGAUACCUAAAUUUUGAGUCAUGUCCUUUUUAAUGAAUAUCUCAAAUAAGCUUAACAUUAUUUCAGCAACUGUGGGCAUGUCCUCGUGCUACUUAGACAAGAAAUUGGACAUCGAAGCCAGUACAUAGCAUGUUGCCAUUUCAUCGAACUGUUUCCACUUGUUGUGGGCAUCUCUUUUAGCUUGGACUGUAUUUUCACCAAGUGUAUGUGGGGAAGGGGUGUAAUUUUAUAUUAAAACUUAUUUGUCCUCUUCGCUUGUGAGGACAACAUUAAGACUCCUUGUCCAAUAUAGGUAGUUAGCCCAAUUAACUUAUUCUGGAUUAGAAUUGCUACAAGUAGAUUGAACAACAUAUUUUGAAUAUAACAUAAAAUUAAUAAAUCAUAUGAGCAUAUAUACAUUUCUAAUUGUGAAUUUUAGCAUAAUAAUAAAUGCAUGAAAUGUACAAGCAGAACUCUUUAACUACUUUGAAUUACGCAUCGAUAAUCUAAUUCUGCACUAAAUAAGCCUAUGAAGGUUGGUUAAAUUUGUCGCUUAAUAACCAUGUCUACCUAAAAAAUUUAUUAUUAUCUCUAGAUAUCUCAUAUCAAAUAAUAAUAAUAAAUUACUGAUUUAUUUAACCUCUUAGGUUUGAUUAUUAAGAACUCCGUAGGGAGGAUAUUAACCAAGCUAAGUUAGGCGUAUAACCAUUAUUUCAAUCUUUUGUAUUUCCCAACUAAAACAAUUACAAUAGGGAGUCACUUUUAAUUCUUUAAGGAAGUCCUAUCUAGUAGCCAACUCUAAUUAAUAACUUCCGUGAGGAGCUCAUCCAAUUUAAUGUGAGGCAUUAAUCUACCUUACUAUAAGACCAACAACGGAGGCCAUGGGCUUCAUCUUAGUGAGAGCGUGUCAUAUUAUUUUACUAUUUUCUCAAUCUACCACUUUAGAGAGUGACAGUUUAAUUUAGGGUAUAUUUUCUUUUAAGAGAGUCACUCUUAAUCGUCAGGUUUUAAGGUUUGAUGUAUCAUUCUUAAAAGUGGUUUGAUUAAUGUAGCUCUAAUAAUUGAUCAUUUUACAUGAUUUUACUUAACUGUUUUGUGCGGGUGUGAUUUUCUUUAGGCUGAAGAUAAUGCUUAUACUUUUAUUUGAUUGUUGUCAUUAAUCUGAUGAAAAAAGUAAACACAAUUUAAAAAAAAAAAGAUUUCAAUUUGGUUUUGAAAUUUCGCUAACUUUUAAUCAUUUAAAUUGCUAAGGCCUAGCAAUAAGCUGGUUGGGGGGUGUGAUUGAUACUAAAAAAUGUACAUUUAAUAAGGAUAAAAUUAUUAGUUGUUCUUAUUGUGUCGAUUAAUGCGCUCAUUAUUCUUAAAUUAUCUUAAUACUCCCCAAGUAUAUUUUUAUGCUAAAUUAAUUCACAAUAUGUUAAUUUUUAUCUUGCAAAUAUUUUUCAGGAAUAAAUAUGAAAUUAGAAUUGAAAGCGGGAUCAAAGAAGGACUGUUGGAGCCA
rnacentral:lncRNA from 1 species